UCAGGAUGAACGCUAGCUACAGGCUUAACACAUGCAAGUCGAGGGGCAGCAUGAACUUAGCUUGCUAAGUUUGAUGGCGACCGGCGCACGGGUGAGUAACACGUAUCCAACCUUCCGUUUACUCAGGGAUAGCCUUUCGAAAGAAAGAUUAAUACCUGAUAGUAUGGUGAGAUUGCAUGAUAGCACCAUUAAAGAUUUAUUGGUAAACGAUGGGGAUGCGUUCCAUUAGGUAGUAGGCGGGGUAACGGCCCACCUAGCCGACGAUGGAUAGGGGUUCUGAGAGGAAGGUCCCCCACAUUGGAACUGAGACACGGUCCAAACUCCUACGGGAGGCAGCAGUGAGGAAUAUUGGUCAAUGGGCGAGAGCCUGAACCAGCCAAGUAGCGUGAAGGAUGAAGGUCCUACGGAUUGUAAACUUCUUUUAUACGGGAAUAAGGUAUCCUACGUGUAGGAUUUUUGUAUGUACCGUAUGAAUAAGCAUCGGCUAACUCCGUG
rnacentral:rRNA from 1 species